rnacentral:rRNA from 1 species
GAUGAACGCUAGCGGCAGGCUUAAUACAUGCAAGUCGAGGGGCAGCAGGAAUAGCAAUAUUUGCUGGCGACCGGCGCACGGGUGCGUAACACGUAUACAAUCUGCCUUUAACAGGGGGAUAGCCCGGAGAAAUCCGGAUUAAUACCCCAUAACAAUAGAACAAGCAUUUGUUUUAUUUAAAAGCUCCGGCGGUUAGAGAUGAGUAUGCGUCUGAUUAGCUAGUUGGUGAGGUAACGGCUCACCAAGGCGACGAUCAGUAGGGGAUCUGAGAGGAUUAACCCCCAAACGGUAACUGAGACACGGAUCCGACGCCGACGGGAUGCAGCAGUAAGGAAUAUUGGACAAUGCCCGCAAGGGUGAUCCAGCCAUGCCGCGUGCAGGAAGACGGCCCUAUGGGUUGUAAACUGCUUUUGUACCGGAGAAAACCUCCCCUCGUGAGGGGAGCUGAUAGUAUGGUAAGAAUAAGCAUCGGCUAACUUCGUGCCAGCCGCCGCCGUAA